CAGCUGCUGAAAGAGACUCCAGUGAUCUGAGCUGAGAUACGGUAGAUCACGUGACUACAGCCAGGCGCCAAGACUCAUGUGGUGUCAGUGGAUUACGCAGGUUCUCUUAGGUGUAAACACACCAGUGAUGCGGCCGACUUUCCUGGAGCCUCUGAAGUGACUUCCUGCUAAUCCAGCCACAUGUGCACCCAGACUGUAGCCAAUCAGAUGCACUUUAUCCAUGGAGAGCUGCACAGCUUCCUGUCAAGAGAGGAAGUGAUCCACUUGAGCAGCACGGCCACAUCCUGUCCCACCUGACGGCUGUUCUUGGCUGCGAUUGGAUAAGGCUGCAGGGCCAGAUUCCUCCAAUCACUGAUGAGCACAUUGACCUGACCAAUCCUGAUCUUCAGAGCAGAAGCCAACCUGAAGAUCCACUGUUCCAUGAUCCCAUUCAUCUGCAGAGAGAACAAAUGUCACGAAACAUCACAGCUGACAUCAUGUGAUGAAGGAUUUUAUUACCGUCCAUCCGUGUAUGAUCAGCACCAGUGGAUCACUUCUGUUGUAGCUGCAUCUGUCCAGGGUUUCAGAUCUGAAUGGAACGACAGUGCAGGUUUCUUCAAACACAUUUCCCUCGUGAUACACAUGGAAACUGGAUUUGACCAGCAGUGGAGUCUUCACAUGAUUCGAGAUCUGAAGUCAAGGUGUAAAUGAGACAUAAACAGGUCACGACCCUGCUAUAGAUCAACAUGAUUCAAUGAGAUGAUGGAAAAGUCCACUGGAUCUGUUGGGAAUUUUCUGCUCUUGUGGGAGAGAGAAUGUCGCCCGCUCGAGGGAGGAACCUGUUUUAAGAGCUGCUGAAGGCUGCUGUCCUCGUCUUCAUCAUCGUCCUCCUCCUCUUCCUCGGGUUCUUCAUGAGAUUUGUCCGUGUGAUUGGAGUGAUGCAACUCAAUCAACAGGAAGUAGAUGAUCGCUCCAGCCACACCCCCCACCAGCGGUCCCGCCACGGGAAUCCACCACCAGUAAUCAGCAGUACUGCACGGUGAAGAGCCGCGGCCCGAGAUCUCGUGCGGGAUUCAGAGGGUAACCGCAGUUCAGGCCCAUAGAAACACUGAUGCCCAGAAGAAUCAGACCGAUGGCCAGAGGCUCCACACCUUUAGGAGCGCCGAUGUUCCUCCCAUCAAUGAUGGCCAGAAUACACAGAACCAGCAUUCCUGUGCAGACGACCUGACAGACGCACGAGUCAUCAGGAUGAAGCAACAGGAUGUGAAGUUUAGCGAUUUGUGUGCAGUGUUUUCAUUGGAACAGACUCACCGUAAUAGAGUCCAAACACUCCGGCCGCUCCAGCGAACGCUCCCAGCAGCUGAGCGAG